rnacentral:rRNA from 1 species
CGCGGCCUAUCAGCUUGUUGGUGGGGUAAUGGCCCACCAAGGCAUCGACGGGUAGCUGGUCUGAGAGGAUGAUCAGCCACACUGGGACUGAGACACGGCCCAGACUCCUACGGGAGGCAGCAGUGGGGAAUCUUGCGCAAUGGGCGAAAGCCUGACGCAGCAACGCCGCGUGCGGGAAGAAGGCCCUCGGGUUGUAAACCGCUUUCAGCAGGAACGAAAAUGACGGUACUUGCAGAAGAAGGUGCGGCCAACUACGUGCCAGCAGCCGCGGUGACACGUAGGCACCAAGCGUUGUCCGGAUUUAUUGGGCGUAAAGAGCUCGUAGGCGGUUCGGUAAGUCGGGUGUGAAAACUUUGGGCUUAACCCAAAGCCUGCAUCCGAUACUGCUGUGACUAGAGUUCGGUAGGGGAGCGGGGAAUUCCUAGUGUAGCGGUGAAAUGCGCAGAUAUUAGGAGGAACACCGGUGGCGAAGGCGCCGCUCUGGGCCGAUACUGACGCUGAGGAGCGAAAGCGUGGGUAGCAAACAGGAUUAGAUACCCUGGUAGUCCACGCCGUAAACGUUGGGCACUAGGUGUGGGUUUCAACCAACGAAAUCCGCGCCGUCGCUAACGCAUUAAGUGCCCCGCCUGGGGAGUACGG